rnacentral:rRNA from 1 species
UACCAGCUCCCCGAGUGGUCGGGACGAUUAUUGGGCCUAAAGCAUCCGUAGCCGGUCAUGCAAGUCCUCCGUUAAAUCCACCUGCUUAACAGAUGGGCUGCGGAGGAUACUACAAGGCUAGGAGGCGGAAGAGGCAAGCGGUACUCAGUGGGUAGGGGUAAAAUCCUCUGAUCCAUUGAAGACCACCAGUGGCGAAGGCGGCUUGCCAAUACGCGCUCGACGGUGAGGGAUGAAAGCUGGGGGAGCAAACCGG